UACGGAGGGUGCAAGCGUUGUCCGGAUUUAUUGGGUUUAAAGGGAGCGUAGGUGGCUUUUUAAGUCAGUGGUGAAAUCCUCCAGCUUAACUGGAGACGUGCCAUUGAUACUGAUUAGCUUGAGUACUGAUGAGGUAGGCGGAAUUGAAGGUGUAGCGGUGAAAUGCAUAGAUAUCUUCAAGAACACCGAUUGCGAAGGCAGCUUACUAAGGAGUUACUGACACUGAGGCUCGAAAGCGUGGGGAU
rnacentral:rRNA from 1 species